rnacentral:lncRNA from 1 species
GUGGAUGGAAGUUCAACUCACCGAGCCGGGGUAUUAGGAUAAAGACUAAGCUUCUAGAACAAAGAGGCCCCCAAGCGGAGAAGCUCCCAGAGGCUAGCGGUUCACGCCAUCCGCAAGCAACAGGCGAGACUGCAGGUGGGCCGGGCCCGCUCUCCACCUUGUGGUUUUGGUCCCAGGUCCUGUCCUCGUCUUCGUGGUUGAAGCUGUUGCAGAUGCCUCCUUUCCACCCUGGGGAGGGGGUGAAAAUCCGGGGCCCUGGACGCCGUUUGCUCCAAGGAGGGAGAAUUUUCACGUGGCCUUUUCAUGCCCCUCACUGGUGGAAACUGAUCCCCACAGCUGCACCUGAGCCACAGCGCGGGGCUUUGCUCCUGGCUCGAUGCUCAUGUUCUGAGGAAGGACAGGAACCCACAGGGACACGGGCGUCGGCCCAGGAAAUCCGGGAGGAGGAGCAGGUUUCCUGGAAUUGGAAGCAGCCGGUGAGGAAGAUGCUGGAGACGCCCUGAGACGGCGGCUGAGACACCGAGCUGAGGCCGAGGGCACCGGCUCGGACCGCCUGGGCCAUCCCCACAGGGUUAGCAAAGACGCAAGAGGGCGUGAAGCCACGCGGUCGCACACCUGGUACCGCGCACAGUGAGAAAGGAGGGCAAGUGCGCUGAGACCCAGGAGGGAGGGCAGCCCUCCCCUGCGCUGCUGAGGCUCGUUUCUUUCAAUGUGUCCCUGGCUCUGUGCUGUAUCGUGCGUUUCAGUGUGCAUGAAAUAUCUUGUGCAAUCAUUUACGUGAAAUUAGAGCUAGUAGGAAAAUGUAUCGUCAGGCGUGGAAGAGCGCACUGCACCUUCUUUUUACUUGCGCGCACCUGAGGAUUGUCUAAAAUCCAGGCCUCACGGGACUCCCAGAGCCCGUGCUCGUCACAGCUGCUGGCUACAGAAACACAGCCUGCAAAGUCGGCCUCACCGCCAGCCAGACGAGCCCAGCCAGUUUCCACGAGCAGGGGAGGGCACACCCGGAGGCCACCGUGGAAAGCAGCCUGGCUGCCCUCGGGAAGCCACACGCGGAGCCGCCGCGGCCCAGCACUCCCACCCCUCGAUGUGUGCCCAGGUCGAAGGAAGGCUUGCCACCCGAAGGCCUGCACGGGAAAGCUCACAGCAGCGUUCUCCAAACAGCCAAAACGCGGAAGCAACCCCGAUGUGCGUGGGCUGGUGAAUGCAGGCCCAGCGCGGAGUGCGCACAGCCCGGAACGGCAUUCAGCCAAGAAAAGACCCACAGCCGGGAACAGCAUAUUCAGCCAAGAAAAGAAAGGGCGGCCUGGGGCGCUCUGCACCGCGGGUGAGCCGUGAGAACACGGCGCUCCGGGAGAGAAGCCAGCACGAGACGCUGCCUCGGGCGCGACUCCAUUUACUUGAAGUCCAGAGCCCGUAAAUCCGCGAGACAGACAUGGAGGAGCGGCUUACCAGAGGCCUGGGGUGACUCAAAUCCGCCGCUGCUGUGUGAUCUGGGACACUUCAGGAUGUGGGCACCGUGGGGAACCAGCUUGGUGCCCAUCUUGGAGGUGUCAUUCUGAGAACCUGGAAGCAGCUCUUGCCCAAGUCACACUCAAGAGCCACGGCUUUGUUAGGCAUUGCCACAUUUUCCAGUGAGUUCCAUGCUCAGAUUGUUCCUGCUUUGUACAGCCCGGGAUAAGCCUGUCAUGAUUACCAGAAAGCAGAGAUGUGGGCCACGGAAGCAUGGGUGAAUGCCGAUGAUGAAUACAGCUGGAGAGAGUGGGACGUGGUCUGUCCACCCCUCAUUAGGUGAGCAAGCGCAGAAAACGCAUUUUCAUCCCCCAGGCUUCUGUAUACUCUCGUGUGGAAUAAAAACUCUAUUGCUCCGGUCUGCAUGUUGCUGACGCCCCAGAAUCCCGAUGUGACAGCCUCGUACCUGAAGUGACAGUGUUCAGGGUGGGGGCUUUGAGGAGUGAUUAAAUCAUGAGGGCUGCACCAACGUGAAUGGGAUUUGUGCCCUUAUAAAACAGGCUGGAGCAUGUUCCUGUGCCCCCUUUGGCCACGUGAGGACACCUUGAAAGGCCACUCACGAGGAACAGUCCAGGCACUGAAUCCACUGGCGCCUCCAGAACUGUGAGCAGUAACAUUCCAUUGUUUAUAAAUUACUCAGUCUCCAGUACUUGGUUCCUGCAGCUAGAACAGGCUAAGGCCUCUGUCCGUGUUCCAGGGAAGCCUCCACAGGGCAGUCACUGCUGAGGAUACUCCGAGCAAAAGGUUCCGUGAUCCAGCACGGUGAUGCGCGCCCACUGUGCGACUUCCAGAGAUCACCGUGGCAUUCGUAAACCAGGAACCUCGUGGAUCUUUAGCCGUAUUAAACGUUUCCUAAACCUACAUGUGUAUUGGCCAUCCAUAAAUCUUUGGAGGAACGUCUAUGUAAAUCCUUUGCCCAUGUGUAAAGUUGGGUUAUUUGGUUUUUAUUACUGAGUUGUGAGAGUCCUUUUGUAAUAUUUUUCUUACUGAGUUGUGAGAGUCCUUUACAUAUUCUGAAUUUAGGUGCCUAUGAUUUGCAAAUACUCUUUCCAUUCUUUGAGUUGUCUUUUCACUCUCUUGAUGGUAUUGUUUCAG